UUAUUGGUCAGUAUUUAAAACAAUAUACACAAAAUAGUAUGUAUUUUGAAGGUUUUGAUCACAUCAUCAAUAACCACAUCUCAUUUUAGAGGGGACAUAUUAUGCUAAGCACACUUUUCUUGCUGUAGCCCCCAUAUUUGGAUAUCUGGUGUGUCUACCAAUUCACAAAAUGUCAACGCAAACAACCCAGUAAUUUUCUUUCAUUUCUCUGCCUCGAUCAGACGCCAUGAGAUUCAACAUGCUGUUAAGGAUUUGGUUGGCUUGCUAUGUAAUUUGCUGGCUCACAAUGCUCCUAAUUCAAAUAUCUCCACCUCUGCUUGACAACCACACCUUCAUAAAUGCCCACCAUUCCUUUUCGCCGUAGGCGUCAGGUAGCCUGACCAGAGGGCAUGUGUUUCUGUAACUGCAUUUGAUGUUUGGAGCGAGUUAACUGCAAUUUUAAAAAAGGCACGGGCUUGAGGAGAGAGUGCUGAUUAAGCUUUAGCACCGCCUGAAAUCAGGUUUAAAAAAAAAACAAAAAAAAACCAUUCGGUAGCAGUGAGGGAUGGAGAGCGAGAGAGAGAACAUUAAUAUAGACAUGACAAGUUGAUGUAAACACUUUUUAUGAACAUCAAACAUAAUAUUCCUUUUGCUCUAAGUCAGACAUCUGUAUUUUUCAAUGCUCUACGCCGAUUAAUCAUAACUUCGAAGGGAGAGCUCAGUGACGAGGGGGAAGAGAAAGACAGAGUAUGCUAGAUUUGUUUACACCCAUUUCCUCUGAACAACAAUGAAGUCGAUUAUUUCCUCAAAUUGAGGAAACUUAUUUUUUAUUUUGGCAUAUUCCACUUUAUUAGUAUUGGCUUAUGUGGCAUAUUUUGGGAAGAGUCUUGCCGCUGUGGCACUGAAUGGAGUGAUGGAGUAUUCUGGAUUAGCAGCUAUGGGGGGAGCACCAAGCACGUAAUAAGGAUAUUUAAUCAAUCAGAUGAUGUAGCAACACAAGACUCAGAUCUUGUCUCAAAGUAAUCUAAUUCAGACAGUAAUACAAUAUUUAAUAACAAUUGAAUGUAGUCCAGUAGGUUGAAGUAAUCAAUUCCUAUCUCGUAAAGUGCAGUAUUUCCAGAUACUAUUAAGUUCAAAUUGUUUGUUUCAGAAACACCAUGGCUAUAUUUCCAAUGCCCAUCACCAGUAAGUCAUGAAUAUAUAGUCAUUUUGUUGUCAUACAAUGGAAGUAAUAUUCUUGUGAAAUGUCUCCAUCCCAUUUAAGAAUUCCAGAAAUGUGUCCUGAAGAAGCUUGUGGAGCUUACAGAGGAGGUAAAGCGCAUUGGGAGUGCAGAGCCCAGUGCUUCAAGUUACCAUGUUCGAUGAAUGGAGAGGAUGGAGGAAGUUGAUAAGUUAGAGGAAACGUCAAAACAUUGACACGAGACAUCUUCUGGUAAAAUAUAAUUUAAUGAAACAGUUAUUCCUGGUGUAUACCUGUAUGUGCUAGCCCAAAGGUGAGCAACCAUGUAUUUUUUAUUUUACCGAUAAAUCUCAAGUGAGGUCGGAGUAGAUCUCAUUAACCUCAUCUCAUCAUUCUGGAAAAUCCAGAAAAUUUUUCUCUUUUUAUCAUUCAAAAACUGGUUUAAAUCUUACUUACUGGUUUAAAUCUCUAAACUAAGUUGCCAUGAUUUUAUUUUAUUAUUACAAUGAGCCUAUACAGAAGGGUCUAAUGAGGAAACUGAAGCAAGUCCAAUUUCGAAGGUCCCUUUUUUUCAUAUCAGUGAUCAAUGUGCAUAUACUUGUCUCCCCAGAUAGGACGAAUUUGCACAGUAUUUAUAUAAUUAUAUGGAUCAAUACUAUGUUUGUGUUACGGGUCCCAGGCAGGGGCACCGUAAGGCAGAUAAAUUACCUGAAUGGAAAUGCAGGCAGAACAGCAAAAUUGGGACGACGUGUAGCGUUCCCUUUCAGAUUGCAUCUCUUUAUUUAACAAACACAAAAGUCAUAUACAUACAUACCUUUCAAGUAAUUCCAGUCAUUUGCAUUUCUGUCCUUAGUCACUUAUCACUUUAACAUAACUUGUACAUUUCACAUUUCCAUAUAAUCUCACUUCCUUGUGACCAACACAAUAUAUUUUGGCACAAAUCACCAUUAAUUGUAUUUAUUUGUUGUAAUAAACCUUUUAAUGCAUUCUAUGACAUGCUUACUUUAUGACAUAUUUCCUCUUAAAUGUUCACACUUGUACAUAAACAUCUGAUUAUGUAUCAAGGUAACUUUUCUUGUAACAUAUUUCUGUACACGCUUUAUUUUAAAUCUUCUUAAAUACUUUCGCUAUUAACCCAUUUUCAAUGACAAUUGCAAUACCCCUUAGUUCCACUGGAUGGCGAUCUAACCAAGAGUUGUAUCUCCCGUCAAUUCAAGUACAUGGAGCAGCGGCUAUGGCUUUGAUGUAUUACGACAAACUUCCUCUCUAACUUUCACUUAUUUUACCAAAUUAAAUCAGCGGAUACUUUAACAAUAUACAUCCUCACAUGAACACAAGUACUUAUAUGGACCUAUUCUGUUGUUUUUGGACAAUUUACCGACCUGAAUGGAAAUGCAGGCAGAACAGCAAAAUGAGGACGACGUGUAGCGUUCCCUUGCAGAGAUUGCGUCUGACGCAAUACAGGAAGUGUCUCUGUAUAAGGGUCCUGCCGCAACUGAAGAGAGACAAAGGUUCCGCCUCACGCUGUAUAACACAAACUGCAAAUCCACUUCCAUAUUUCAGAAAUAUUAAAUUCUGCGCAUUUAUAUAGCAUAUUUUACCUCAAUAAACACAAAAUUAAAUCUAUGUGGACACCAUAUUUUCGAGUGUGCCACAUUUGCAUAUGAUUAUUUAUGCUAUAAUUACACUUUAAAAUAUUGAUUUUCACGCUGCCUUUUUCUGAGGCCGCACAGGUUUACCAUCCCCAACACAGAUACAAUAGGUCUUAUUCCCAAAGAGGUUACCCACCCCUGUGUCAGCUGGAAUGGUGCUAAAUUUUAAAUGUCUAGAAUUUAGGGGUUGUAAAAUAUCUGUUCUAAAUACAUUGAAAUACUAAAACUAUUAACUCUUUUCACACAGAUCGUACAGUUAAGUACGAUUGGCGGCAAGAACAUCAAGGACUGCACAACUAAGAUCUUGGACAGGCUGAUGACAAACUCCCGGAUGUCUUCAUUCAAUAUGAAGGGCCACGGUUCCAAAAGGGCAUUCCAACCGACAGAACUUUACACCAUUGUGACAGCUGCUGUCAAAAGGUGGGACAGCAAAGCCACAGACCAUGAAAUUUCACGUACUAUGGCAGACCAUUUCAAACAUGCUCCUGGGCGGUCUGGUGGUGGAGGCUAUCUUUGUGAUUAUGAAUUUGUGAUUAUUUUUAAUAAUGAAUUCAGGGUGGCUUCAUGGAGACGUCUUUUCAACGACCUGAAAAUGACGGCUUUCACUUUUCAACCAAAUCUAAACGUAUUUUCAACGCCUGGACAUGAUGUCUUUUCAACGUCUUUUCAACCAAUUUUUGCUGGGUGGGAUGCAUUGCUGGGCAGUUACAGGCAAAAUGAGAAAAACUUUUACGUGGUUUGGUGCAUCUGUGGUUCAUUGUUGGGCAGUUAUAGGCAAUGUUCAAAAAUGCACUCUAUUCGGUCUGAAACGUGUUUUUUAGCAAUAAUUGUUAAAUUCAGUCACUGCAAGCCAGAAGAAGGUGCUAUAGGCUCAAAUGUCAUGCAUGGUGAAUGUGGUUUGGUGCUGCUGGGAUGCAUUGCUGGGCAGUUACAGGCAAUGAGAAAAAGUAACUCAUUCGGCCUGAGCAAGUGUUUAAAGCACUUUUUAGCUGGUUUGGUGCAUCUGUGGUUCAUUGUUGGGCAGUUACAGGCAAAAUUAAAAAAAUAACUCAUUCAUUGUGCUACCUAGGCCUGUCACAAUAGCAAAUUUUGUUGGAUGAUAAUUGUCCUACAAAUUAUUUUAAAUAAAAAAUAUUGUCAACAUUUUGAGACCAUUUUUUAAUGAAUGUAAUGAUACUGUAUAUGGCAUAAUAAUGCGAGUACACAGUAUCAGAAGCAAUGCACUUUAAUUUCUGUGUUUAACAUUGCAACUGGAAUGUCAAGGGCUUUUAAAUAAAAGUAAUUUAAAAACAACCAAAUAAAAAUAAUGCAAUAAACAAAAAAGACAAAAACACCUUCAUGAAAAUAGUGUCUCUUUUAGCAAAAAUCGCACUUAAAUAAUCAUAAUCACAAUAUUGCUGAUUUUGAAUUAGUGUCACUUUCGUCAUUGUCUGAAUAUUGGUUUAAAAAAACCCUGAGCAAUAACCCAGAAAUACUCUGUUCACAUUGUGUCAAUGCAGACGUCUAGCUCAUUUGCAUAUACAAUUUUAUAUAUACGGCGAAAGUGGCUCAACCAAACCAGGCUUUGUGCUCAACAUGCAACUCGACAAAACCUAACAUCCACACUCACCUACUUGGUCCUUGCGCUAAAUCGUAAUCCUUUGUGCUAAAUGCGCGUUCACAUGAAAGGGGGCGUUUGAUGUCAUAUUAUUUUACUUCUGCUGAAAAGUGAAGUGAUCCCAGCCAGUGUAUUUUACAAAAAAAUUUACGCAAUUAUUAUGGAGCGUUAUGAGUUCCCAAAAGAUUAUGACUGCUAAAAGCAACACUGUCGCUGCCAAUACAGCGAGGGAGUACUGCUGGCAUGCCAGCAUGCAGCAUGUGAAUGCGCAAGUUCACACUGAACACUGAUUAUGAAAUCUAUACCCUACUUGACUUUUCAUUUAUCAACGCUCAACAUUGCAACACUUUGACACAUUAAAACUUAUCCACUUACAAAGUAAAGAGAUUGGAGCAACAACUUUCGUUUUUGAUGAUGCAUUUUAAUCUGCUGUAUCUCGUUGUGACCGCUCGAUGACGUUUUUUGUGGAGACUUUUAAAAUGUUUCCAUUUUAUAAUAAAACAUUUUUU